GGGAUUUACAAGCAAAAUAUGUAAUUAGUUUUUAUUUUUAUCUAUAUUUAAUAUUCCAUGCAUUUGCCUCAAGAUUCGAUGUGACGGAAAAUCUUGAAAAGUUUUUUGUUUUUUUUGUGAACUAAACAAAGCCUUAGUAUAUUUUUAUAUAAAUUUAGUUAAAUUUUAAAUAGCUUGAUAUUUUGAAAAAAUGAGAAUUAUAUUUUUUUAGACGGAGAGAGUAGUUUAUAGUUUAUAGCUCCCAUGACGCUGGUACCGUGUCCAUUUUGCAAAAAAAUGAUAAACAAGGUCUAAUAUGGUCUUUUUUUUGUUUUGUCACACAAGGGAAAAAAUCACUGAGAUAAUUAAUUAAUUUGACUAAACACCAGAGGGAAGGAAAAAAACUGGCAGACAGUGGCACUGGGGAAAAGAAGAUUUUGUUGUCAAGACCAAUUGGCCCAGGGGUAUUCAAGUCAAAUGCCAGACCACUUAACUGCCGUUAGACUUCAAAAUGGACGGAAUGGCAUACGGAUAUAGCCGAAGAUGAAGUUGGACACAACGGUGCGAAACAACUUUUUAAUGGCCUCCUAGUUUGGUCAAUCUUUCAUAAUGGAUAUAGGUAAAAACCUCUAGGGAAUGAGCGCCUCACAUACCAGUG
rnacentral:lncRNA from 1 species